rnacentral:rRNA from 1 species
AAUCAACGCUGGCGGCGUGCCUAACACAUGCAAGUCGAACGCGGUUAUUCAGCAAUGGGUAGCCGAGUGGCGAACGGGUGAGUAACACGUGGGUGACCUACCUUCGAAUGGGGGAUAACGUCCCGAAAGGGACGCUAAUACCGCAUAACAUCCUGUCCUUGAACGGAUGGAGAUCAAAGCCGGGGAUCGCAAGACCUGGCGUUUGAAGAGGGGGCCCGCGUCCGAUUAGCUAGUUGGGAGGUAAUGGCUCACCAAGGCGACGAUCGGUAACCGGCCUGAGAGGGCGGACGGUCACACUGGGGACUGAGACACGGCCCAGACUCCUACGGGAGGCAGCAGUGGGGAAUUGUUCACAAUGGGCGCAAGCCUGAUGACGCAACGCCGCGUGGAGGAUGAAGGUCUUCGGAUUGUAAACUCCUGUUGCCCAGGGACGAAAAGCUUCGACCUAAUACGUCGAAGUCUGACGGUACCUGGUGAGGAA